rnacentral:lncRNA from 1 species
AUAUUCAUACCUUUGUGAACGCAUGGGAGCAGCACAGUCGGUCUGGGUGGCUGUGUAAGCAAGUACAGACUCCCCAGGCUCAGAGAGCUCUUCAUUUUUUCUGUCUUUCAGCUCUACCUCUCAAGCUCUGGUCUAGUUUAGGAAGCUCCCUGUGAGCAUUUAGCCUAUUGACUUUCAUAUUCCCAGAUGCUUUCGGCACCUUAAGUAGCUAUGUUCUCUCUGGAGUCUAGAUCGUGUCCUUAGGUGAAGAGGAGGGGUGGGGGCGGGCAGGUCCCCGAUCUAACUCCCAUCGAUGAGAAUGGGAACGUGAGUUACCGCUUCAGUCGGCCUGCAGGUUUUCCGUUAAGGUUUCCGCGAUCCUCACCUAGAUAAGGUCACCCGGGUUUUUCUGGUCUUCUGCAGGGGCGCACACUCCCUCCGCACAGACCAGGAGUGACCUCGGGCUUCCGGAUUUGCCCUUAAUGACUCCUACAUCCCCUCCCCACUUUCCUCUGUCUUCAUUCCAACCUCCCCGAACUGAGGACCCCCAGACACCUCACUCGGGCUCGCGCCUGGCUUCUCACACCCUAACUCAGGGGCCCAAAUUUGCGGCGGGAGAAGCACUGCGGCCCUAACGCCCACAGACUUCAGGACUGCAGCCAGGGGCUGUUGAGGACCCCGCCCUCGCGUCGCGCUUGCCCCGCCCCCGCACCGCGGGCCCGCCCCGCCCCCUCCCACGAAGUCACGUCCGGCCGGCCCUCGCCCGCCCUUCGCCCGCCCUCCGCCCUCCGCUUUCCCGCUCGCUGUUAGGGAGGUUCUGCGCCUCAGCCGCUGCCUCGUCGCCGCUCCCGCCCCCUCUUCUGCGUCUCCGCCGUCGCCACCGCCGGGGACGUCCGGGGGUCGCUUACCGGGCUGGCCUCACGCCACAGCGGUCGCUUCAGCCUCCCUCCAGCGGCCGCCACAGGAAGAGGCUCGCCUGCGCGGAGCCACCUGGGGCCUCAGUUCUAGCUCUCUUCCCGUCGCCGAGGGUCCUGGAGAAGCGGCCGCGGCCAGGGAACUGGGCAUCGCGGUUCCAACGGUUAACUGCUGAAGUACUGAUCGAGUUCUGCGUUUCUUCAAUGAGGAACUACAGGCUGAUCUUCUGCCAUAAUCUCAAACAGCCAUAA